rnacentral:rRNA from 1 species
UACGGAGGGUGCAAGCGUUGUCCGGAUUUAUUGGGUUUAAAGGGUGCGUAGGCGGCCCAUUAAGUCCGUGGUGAAAGCCAACAGCUCAACUGUUGAACUGCCAUGGAUACUGAUGGGCUUGAGUACAGACGAGGUAGGCGGAAUGGAUGCUGUAGCGGUGAAAUGCAUAGAUAGCAUCCAGAACACCGAUUGCGUAGGCAGCUUACUAGGCUGUAACUGACGCUGAGGCACGAAAGCGUGGGGAGCGAACAGG